CCAAUGAUCCUGCCAAUUCUUGUUGCGUUUGACACGAGUCUUGAUCAAGUGAUGCCUCCAAUUCUGCAUCUUCGGAAACCUUCUUUCUUCCAUCGCCAUGCUAGUCUUCGACGUCAAAAUCACACGUUCCUUCACUAAUAUCGGCCUCACCAUGAGCAUUCGAUGAGCCUCAGCCGCAGAUUUCUUUAUAUUAAAGUAGAAUAUUAUAACUUACCGCAAUAAUCGAGAAUAACUUUAUGAUGCAGUCACAAAUCGACUAAUAUUUCGAUGGCGUUAUGUUUACGAAUACCUAAGCUUAUUGUAUGACAUCUGUUUCGCUACAGGCAUCUAUUGCAAAACGGUGGAAGCAAAGUUGUAGGAACACCUAAUAUUUCCGGUGUUAUCGGAUCAUCCUUUACGUAAACAUGAUAUUUUUUGUUUUCGUCACCUCAAAGAAUUAAUUCAUAAUAUUCAUGACAAAUGAACCUCAAUUUAAAUUUAUUGUUUUUCAUUUUUCUUUUAUUUUUUGGUUGAAUGUGAGCUUGUAAUAUGAAAUUCAGUUUCACUGUUUGUUGUCUCUGUUCUGAUUGUUGUCUCUGUUCUGUUUGUUGUCUCUGUUCUGUGUUCAUAGGAAAAUGAAAACCAUAGACCUAAUAUCCAUUAUAUUAGGAUAUUAGGUCUAUGAUGAAAACACAUUAACCUCAAUUACUUAGUUAGUCUUGAGAUAGCAUCGACAUCAAUCGCGAUCACAUAUGUUUCCAUACUGAAAAUAAGUAGGUAUUUUUCUUGAUUCGAUUUGGUUUCGUUUCGUUUUCUGCUUCCUCAGUUUCGGUUAUAACGAAGUUAAUUUCGAUACACAGUGUCGAUGUUGAUUAUUGUUACCAGUGGCUUGGAUUAUAGAAACCACAAGUAUAAGUCAAAUUCUUCGUGUCCAUGAUAGUUUGUCGGGCUCCAUUACUCUGUUUAUGGUCAUUGGAGACACCAUCCAAGAUCCACCUCAACUCAACUUGCUGAUGAAGAACCAGACUCUGACAACUCAAUGCUCUAACUGCAAACUAUCAGCUAACGAGCUAGUGGGCAGCAGCUGAUGGUCCAUUCUUUGAGGCUACAAAGUUUGUGGACUAUGUGGAUGUGAGUGUCGAUCCAUAAGCUACGGAUGCAUCUAACAACCCGAAGGCAUACCUCCCAUCAUCUCAUCACCUAACGUAUUUUGCGGUGUCACCCUCUUCUCUUUUUCUUGCCUAUUGCAAAACCAAACUCUCACAACUUGAUUCUAUAACUGCAAACUAUCAGCUAACGAGCUAGUGGGCAGCAGCUGAUGGUCCAUUCUUUGAGGCUACAAAGUUUGUGGACUAUGUGGAUGUGAGUGUCGACCCAUAAGCUACGGGUGCAUCUAACAACCCGAAGGCAUACCUCCCAUCUUCUCAUCACCUAACGUAUUUUGCGGUGUCACCCUCUUCUCUUUUUUUUGCCUAUUGCAAAACCAAACUCUCACAACUUGAUUCUCUAACUGCAAACUAUCAGCUAACGAGCUAGUGGGCAGCAGCUGAUGGUCCAUUCUUUGAGGCUACAAAGUUUGUGGACUAUGUGGAUGUGAGUGUCGACCCAUAAGCUACGGAUGCAUCUAACAACCCGAAGGCAUACCUCCCAUCAUCUCAUCACCUAACGUAUUUUGCGGUGUCACCCUCUUCUCUUUUUCUUGCCUAUUGCAAAACCAAACUCUCACAACUUGAUUCUAUAACUGCAAACUAUCAGCUAACGAGCUAGUGGGCAGCAGCUGAUGGUCCAUUCUUUGAGGCUACAAAGUUUGUGGACUAUGUGGAUGUGAGUGUCGAUCCAUAAGCUACGGAUGCAUCUAACAACCCGAAGGCAUACCUCCCAUCAUCUCAUCACCUAACGUAUUUUGCGGUGUCACCCUCUUCUCUUUUUCUUGCCUAUUGCAAAACCAAACUCUCACAACUUGAUUCUAUAACUGCAAACUAUCAGCUAACGAGCUAGUGGGCAGCAGCUGAUGGUCCAUUCUUUGAGGCUACAAAGUUUGUGGACUAUGUGGAUGUGAGUGUCGACCCAUAAGCUACGGGUGCAUCUAACAACCCGAAGGCAUACCUCCCAUCUUCUCAUCACCUAACGUAUUUUGCGGUGUCACCCUCUUCUCUUUUUUUUGCCUAUUGCAAAACCAAACUCUCACAACUUGAUUCUCUAACUGCAAACUAUCAGCUAACGAGCUAGUGGGCAGCAGCUGAUGGUCCAUUCUUUGAGGCUACAAAGUUUGUGGACUAUGUGGAUGCGAGUGUCGACCCAUAAGCUACGGGUGCAUCUAACAACCCGAAUGCAUACCUCCCAUCAUCUCAUCACCUAACGUAUUUUGCGGUGUCACCCUCUUCUCUUUUUUUUGCCUAUUGCAAAACCAAACUCUCACAACUUGAUUCUCUAACUGCAAACUAUCAGCUAACGAGCUAGUGGGCAGCAGCUGAUGGUCCAUUCUUUGAGGCUACAAAGUUUGUGGACUAUGUGGAUGCGAGUGUCGACCCAUAAGCUACGGGUGCAUCUAACAACCCGAAGGCAUACCUCCCAUCUUCUCAUCACCUAACGUAUUUUGCGGUGUCACCCUCUUCUCUUUUUUUUGCCUAUUGCAAAACCAAACUCUCACAACUUGAUUCUCUAACUGCAAACUAUCAGCUAACGAGCUAGUGGGCAGCAGCUGAUGGUCCAUUCUUUGAGGCUACAAAGUUUGUGGACUAUGUGGAUGCGAGUGUCGACCCAUAAGCUACGGGUGCAUCUAACAACCCGAAGGCAUACCUCCCAUCAUCUCAUCACCUAACGUAUUUUGCGGUGUCACCCCCUUCUCUUUUUCUUGCCUAUUGCAAAACCAAACUCUCACAACUUGAUUCUCUAACUGCAAACUAUCAACUAACGAGCUAGUGGGCAGCAGCUGAUGGUCCAUUCUUUGAGGCUACAAAGUUUGUGGACUAUGUGGAUGCGAGUGUCGACCCAUAAGCUACGGGUGCAUCUAACAACCCGAAUGCAUACCUCCCAUCAUCUCAUCACCUAACGUAUUUUGCGGUGUCACCCCCUUCUCUUUUUCUUGCCUAUUGCAAAACCAAACUCUCACAACUUGAUUCUCUAACUGCAAACUAUCAGCUAACGAGCUAGUGGGCAGCAGCUGAUGGUCCAUUCUUUGAGGCUACAAAGUUUGUGGACUAUGUGGAUGCGAGUGUCCACCCAUAAGCUACGGGUGCAUCUAACAACCCGAAGGCAUACCUCCCAUCAUCUCAUCACCUAACGUAUUUUGCGGUGUCACCCUCUUCUCUUUUUCUUGCCUAUUGCAAAACCAAACUCUCACAACUUGAUUCUCUAACUGCAAACUAUCAGCUAACGAGGUAGUGGGCAGCAGCUGAUAGUCCAUUCUUUGAGGCUACAAAGUUUGUGGACUAUGUGGAUGCGAGUGUCGACCCAUAAGCUACGGGUGCAUCUAACAACCCGAAGGCAUACCUCCCAUCAUAUCAUCACCUAACGUAUUUUGCGAUGUCACCCCCUUCUCUUUUUCUUGCCUAUUGCAAAACCAAACUCUCACAACUUGAUUCUCUAACUGCAAACUAUCAGCUAACGAGCUAGUGGGCAGCAGCUGAUGGUCCAUUCUUUGAGGCUACAAAGUUUGUGGACUAUGUGGAUGCGAGUGUCGACCCAUAAGCUACGGGUGCAUCUAACAACCCGAAGGCAUACCUCCCAUCAUAUCAUCACCUAACGUAUUUUGCGAUGUCACCCCCUUCUCUUUUUCUUGCCUAUUGCAAAACCAAACUCUCACAACUUGAUUCUCUAACUGCAAACUAUCAGCUAACGAGCUAGUGGGCAGCAGCUGAUGGUCCAUUCUUUGAGGCUACAAAGUUUGUGGACUAUGUGGAUGCGAGUGUCGACCCAUAAGCUACGGGUGCAUCUAACAACCCGAAGGCAUACCUCCCAUCAUAUCAUCACCUAACGUAUUUUGCGAUGUCACCCCCUUCUCUUUUUCUUGCCUAUUGCAAAACCAAACUCUCACAACUUGAUUCUCUAACUGCAAACUAUCAGCUAACGAGCUAGUGGGCAGCAGCUGAUGGUCCAUUCUUUGAGGCUACAAAGUUUGUGGACUAUGUGGAUGCGAGUGUCCACCCAUAAGCUACGGGUGCAUCUAACAACCCGAAGGCAUACCUCCCAUCAUCUCAUCACCUAACGUAUUUUGCGGUGUCACCCUCUUCUCUUUUUCUUGCCUAUUGCAAAACCAAACUCUCACAACUUGAUUCUCUAACUGCAAACUAUCAGCUAACGAGGUAGUGGGCAGCAGCUGAUAGUCCAUUCUUUGAGGCUACAAAGUUUGUGGACUAUGUGGAUGCGAGUGUCGACCCAUAAGCUACGGGUGCAUCUAACAACCCGAAGGCAUACCUCCCAUCAUCUCAUCACCUAACGUAUUUUGCGGUGUCACCCUCUUCUCUUUUUCUUGCCUAUUGCAAAACCAAACUCUCACAACUUGAUUCUCUAACUGCAAACUAUCAGCUAACGAGGUAGUGGGCAGCAGCUGAUAGUCCAUUCUUUGAGGCUACAAAGUUUGUGGACUAUGUGGAUGCGAGUGUCGACCCAUAAGCUACGGGUGCAUCUAACAACCCGAAGGCAUACCUCCCAUCAUCUCAUCACCUAACGUAUUUUCCGGUGUCACCCUCUUCUCUUUUUCUUGCCUAUUGCAAAACCAAACUCUCACAACUUGAUUCUCUAACUGCAAACUAUCAGCUAACGAGCUAGUGGGCAGCAGCUGAUGGUCCAUUCUUUGAGGCUACAAAGUUUGUGGACUAUGUGGAUGCGAGUGUCGACCGAUAAGCUACGGGUGCAUCUAACAACCCGAAGGCAUACCUCCCAUCAUCUCAUCACCUAACGUAUUUUGCGGUGUCACCCUAUUCUCUUUUUCUUGCCUAUUGCAAAACCAAACUCUCACAACUUGAUUCUCUAACUGCAAACUAUCAGCUAACGAGCUAGUGGGCAGCAGCUGAUGGUCCAUUCUUUGAGGCUACAAAGUUUGUGGACUAUGUGGAUGUGAGUGUCGACCCAUAAGCUACGGGUGCAUCUAACAACCCGAAGGCAUACCUCCCAUCAUCUCAUCACCUAACGUAUUUUGCGGUGUCACCCUAUUCUCUUUUUCUUGCCUAUUGCAAAACCAAACUCUCACAACUUGAUUCUCUAACUGCAAACUAUCAGCUAACGAGCUAGUGGGCAGCAGCUGAUGGUCCAUUCUUUGAGGCUACAAAGUUUGUGGACUAUGUGGAUGUGAGUGUCGACCCAUAAGCUACGGGUGCAUCUAACAACCCGAAGGCAUACCUCCCAUCAUCUCAUCACCUAACGUAUUUCGCGGUGUCACCCUCUUCUCUUUUUCUUGCCUAUUGCAAAACCAAACUCUCACAACUUGAUUCUCUAACUGCAAACUAUCAGCUAACGAGCUAGUGGGCAGCAGCUGAUGGUCCAUUCUUUGAGGCUACAAAGUUUGUGGACUAUGUGGAUGUGAGUGUCGACCCAUAAGCUACGGGUGCAUCUAACAACCCGAAGGCAUACCUCCCAUCAUCUCAUCACCUAACGUAUUUUGCGGUGUCACCCUAUUCUCUUUUUCUUGCCUAUUGCAAAACCAAACUCUCACAACUUGAUUCUCUAACUGCAAACUAUCAGCUAACGAGCUAGUGGGCAGCAGCUGAUGGUCCAUUCUUUGAGGCUACAAAGUUUGUGGACUAUGUGGAUGUGAGUGUCGACCCAUAAGCUACGGGUGCAUCUAACAACCCGAAGGCAUACCUCCCAUCAUCUCAUCACCUAACGUAUUUUGCGGUGUCACCCUAUUCUCUUUUUCUUGCCUAUUGCAAAACCAAACUCUCACAACUUGAUUCUCUAACUGCAAACUAUCAGCUAACGAGCUAGUGGGCAGCAGCUGAUGGUCCAUUCUUUGAGGCUACAAAGUUUGUGGACUAUGUGGAUGUGAGUGUCGACCCAUAAGCUACGGGUGCAUCUAACAACCCGAAGGCAUACCUCCCAUCAUCUCAUCACCUAACGUAUUUCGCGGUGUCACCCUCUUCUCUUUUUCUUGCCUAUUGCAAAACCAAACUCUCACAACUUGAUUCUCUAACUGCAAACUAUCAGCUAACGAGCUAGUGGGCAGCAGCUGAUGGUCCAUUCUUUGAGGCUACAAAGUUUGUGGACUAUGUGGAUGUGAGUGUCGACCCAUAAGCUACGGGUGCAUCUAACAACCCGAAGGCAUACCUCCCAUCAUCUCAUCACCUAACGUAUUUUGCGGUGUCACCCUAUUCUCUUUUUCUUGCCUAUUGCAAAACCAAACUCUCACAACUUGAUUCUCUAACUGCAAACUAUCAGCUAACGAGCUAGUGGGCAGCAGCUGAUGGUCCAUUCUUUGAGGCUACAAAGUUUGUGGACUAUGUGGAUGUGAGUGUCGACCCAUAAGCUACGGGUGCAUCUAACAACCCGAAGGCAUACCUCCCAUCAUCUCAUCACCUAACGUAUUUCGCGGUGUCACCCUCUUCUCUUUUUCUUGCCUAUUGCAAAACCAAACUCUCACAACUUGAUUCUCUAACUGCAAACUAUCAGCUAACGAGCUAGUGGGCAGCAGCUGAUGGUCCAUUCUUUGAGGCUACAAAGUUUGUGGACUAUGUGGAUGUGAGUGUCGACCCAUAAGCUACGGGUGCAUCUAACAACCCGAAGGCAUACCUCCCAUCAUCUCAUCACCUAACGUAUUUCGCGGUGUCACCCUCUUCUCUUUUUCUUGCCUAUUGCAAAACGAAACUCUCACAACUUCAUUCUCUAACUGCAAACUAUCAGCUAACGAGCUAGUGGGCAGCAGCUGAUGGUCCAUUCUUUGAGGCUACAAAGUUUGUGGACUAUGUGGAUGCGAGUGUCGACCCAUAAGCUACGGGUGCAUCUAACAACCCGAAGGCAUACCUCCCAUCAUCUCAUCACCUAACGUAUUUCGCGGUGUCACCCUCUUCUCUUUUACUUGCCUAUUGCAAAACCAAACUCUCACAACUUCAUUCUCUAACUGCAAACUAUCAGCUAACGAGCUAGUGGGCAGCAGCUGAUGGUCCAUUCUUUGAGGCUACAAAGUUUGUGGACUAUGUGGAUGCGAGUGUCGACCCAUAAGCUACGGGUGCAUCUAACAACCCGAAGGCAUACCUCCCAUCAUCUCAUCACCUAACGUAUUUCGCGGUGUCACCCUCUUCUCUUUUUCUUGCCUAUUGCAAAACCAAACUCUCACAACUUGAUUCUCUAACUGCAAACUAUCAGCUAACGAGCUAGUGGGCAGCAGCUGAUGGUCCAUUCUUUGAGGCUACAAAGUUUGUGGACUAUGUGGAUGUGAGUGUCGACCCAUAAGCUACGGGUGCAUCUAACAACCCGAAGGCAUACCUCCCAUCAUCUCAUCACCUAACGUAUUUCGCGGUGUCACCCUCUUCUCUUUUUCUUG